rnacentral:lncRNA from 1 species
UUUUUUUUUUUUUUUUUGGGUUUAUGCCAAAUAAAGUCACUUUACCAUAUCAUUUUUAUGUCAGCACUCAGCACAUGACGGAGCGAAUAUCAAAUCUUACCUAUUAAUUUCACUUGACAUGCAAACAUGAUCCACGUAAAUUGUAGAAAAAUCAAAUGCGCAGCGUUAAUUUUCUCUAACAUGUUCAACAUCAAGAGCAACACGAACCCGUUUGAAUUUUUGAUUUUGAAUCUAAUGGUGUUUGACUUGUCUUUUCGAUACUUGGAAAAGGUUUUUCGCUCUGGACUUCUUUUUAAUCAUUGAUAUGAACUGACCUUCUAUGUACUCUUCCUCUUUAUUAUUAUUUUUUCUGAAAAAUUCGAACAAUGGCAGGAUACAAGAACAAGGAGAAAAAUUUACUCAUAACUGGCAGUAGUAGUAUGUUUUUCUAACCAUAUUCCUGUUUACAUUUUGCAGGUCUACUAGAAAAUGGUAACUUUGAGGAAGGGCCAAAGGUAUCAAACCUUAAGAAAAGACAGAUCAUAGGAAAAUACUCCUUGCCCAAAUGGGAAAUUCAUGGCAUAGUUGAAUAUGUUUCAAGUGGACCGCAACCUGGUGGUUUUUACUUCGCAAUCCCUCGUGGGGCUCAGGCAGCGAGGCUUGGAAAUGAGGCUUCCAUAUCUCAAUAUGUUAAGGUGAAACCUGGAGCAAUGUACUCAUUGACCUUUGCAGUCACCAGGACUUGUGCCCAAGAUGAGAAGCUAAGGGGUUCUGUCCCUGGUUUUUCGACUGAACUCCCAAUUCAAACACUGUUUAGCAGCGAUGGUGGUGAUACUUAUGCAUGGGCUGUUAAGGCAACUUCUGAUGUUUUCAAGGUUACAUUUCAUAAUCCUGGAAUUCAAGAGGAUCCUACCUGUGGACCUCUUCUGGAUGCAAUUGCAAUCAAGGAGAUACUUCCUCUCAGAUACACUAAGGGUAAGUCCUCUUCCAAAUUUGGAAUUUUUUUCCAAUAUCAUCUGCCUCCCAGAUCUUUAAGCAGAUUUGUGAAAGCUCGAUAUUGGCCAGUACAAGAAAAAUGUUAAUGGCACACACUUAUCUGUUAAUGAUACUCCUCUUGACUAUUCUAACGGCAGUUGUAAAUUCAAAGAAAAACAUGGCAAUUUUUAUCUGAUUCAGAUGGCAAAAGGUUGAAAAAAAAAAGGGUGCCGUUCACAGAGAAAGGAGUGCCAUUAACAUUUAUCCCAAAAUAAUUGUCUGAAUUGUUGGGCAAUGGUCGUAAGUUGAUCACAACCCAACUGCCUUUUUUGUUCUUUUUAUUAUUGACUGUUGAUAUUCGUUCACGAAGACACUAUCUUUAAAAUAUAAAUUUGUAGUUUCUUCCAAAUAUAUAGUAAAUGUUAACCAAUGCAAUGUAUAUUUUAUAAUUCAUUGAAAGCUCCUGAUUUGCACUGAAACUAUGCAGGUAACUUGGUCAAAAAUGGUGAUUUUGAAACCGGCCCUCAUGUGUUCAAGAAUUUCUCCACUGGGGUGCUGCUCCUCCCUAAGAGGACGGACAUCUACUCAUCGCUCCCUGGAUGGAUUGUUGAAUCCCUCAAACCAGUUAAGUAUGUUGACUCAAAGCAUUUCUCCGUUCCCCAGGGACUUGCAGCUAUUGAAUUGGUUGGAGGAAGAGGAACAGCUAUUGCACAAAUCAUAAGAACAGUACCUAACAAGUUCUACUUUCUUUCCUUCGCUUUUGGGGAUGCUAGGAAUGGUUGUCAUGGAUCAAUGACGAUUGAAGCUUUUGCAGCUAGGAAAACCAUAAAACUUUCAUUUACAUCAACUGGAAUUGGUGGAUCCAAGACUGCCAUCCUCAUGUUUCAAGCACUUUCAAACAGAACAAGAAUAACUUUUUAUAGCCCAAAUUAUCACACAAAGCUUCAUGACUAUGGUCACAUAUAUAUGUGGUCCUGUUUUGGAUGAUGUUAAAGUGUUUCCUCUCAAAUAGUCACUGUUAGAGUGAAGAUCAAAGAGAGUGAUCAAAAAGCAACAUAGUUUUGGAAGCUUUUUCUUUUCUUUUCUUUUCUUUUUUGUUAGUUCAAGGAAUUGCUGUAUGGGUCACAUUGGUGCUUUAAGCUGCAGGAGGUAAUUAGUUUAUGAGAUCUGCCUUUUUGGUUUUGCUUGUGAUCACGUUUCAAAAUCAUUUCCCCACAACUAUCAAACGGAGACGGAAAUUAAUUAAUAAAAAAUGAAUUCGUAAUCUGUUUUAAACUGAACAUUACUAAUAAAAGUUUGUUAUCAAUUAGUAAUACUGCUAUAAGAUUACUCUAAUUGAGGGAAGCUUAUUAUAGAUGAACCUCAUAUCCUAACUUCAUUUAAGUAUUUUUUUUUCUUGCUGAGAGGAUAUUAGUGAACAAUCAGGUACGACAAGAGCAUUUCUAAUACUGCAACCUUCAUCAGAUUUCCAUUGAUUUUAAUUUUUUUCUAUUACACAUAAAAUCAGAUGCUUGCAUAUAGUAAUAAUGUCUUCAUUGUUUCCCUAAAUUCAAUGAACUCAAUAACAUGGAAAACGGAAUACUGUUUAGAUGGAACAAAGUGUUGCUAAAAUUCCAGAGCUUUCUAUUGGGUCUAUAGAAUUGUCUGUGUUAUAAUGACUUUUUUCCCCAUAUCAUGAUAAGUUGUUAGCAUUUAGAAAAGGAUUAACUGCAUGGAGAUUUACUAAUUACACUGAAAACCCUAUCUCUUUGCAAGUCAAGGAGAUUUUGCUGCUGAUAUGGGCCGUCUCGUGUCAAAAUGAUAUUUUAAUUCCUUUCAUAUCAGUUUCACUAGGUAAGUUAUCUAAUGGAAGAUCGACUUUUUUCUUGCAAUGAGAUCAGGUGUCUUGACAUGUUCAGUUUAAGUUUCUGUUUCAUAAGUUAAGCACAUGAUCGAUCAGGGCACAUGACAAUGCAUUUAUUUGGUUGAAUUGCAGUUUGUAAAUCAGAGAAUUCAGUGGAAGUUUCCAUCCAACAACAUAUGAUGCAAGUUAAUUUAAUCAUCCCGUACACAUCAAAACUUUCAUUUAGAAGUCAUCUUCCAAUCUAAACAUGACAUGUAUGAAUCCAAGGUAGAGAAGCCAAGAAGAUCUUGAAUGUGGAGGAGGCUCUUGGAUGUCCAAGAAACUAAACAGCAAUAUAAAAUAGAGGUCUAGGAGGCAAACAUCAGAUGUAAUUAAAGAAAGGAGGUUUCAUUGAAGGCUAGCUAGUUAUUGUAAAACCACUAGAUUAAUUAGUGUGUAAAACAGGUCGAUUUUCCGAGCAAAUACUUGAGACAGUUGGCCACAUCCUCCGCCUAGUUUCAUGGCUACAGCCAAGAAUACCGUCCAAACAAUUCAUUGGACAUUGUUAUAUACAACCCUAGUUCCUCUUUAGCUUCCAUUCUUUAUUGUAUAAAUUUUUGCAGAAAAUGGCUCCCUUUCAAACUCUCUGCAUUUUGUUCAUCUUUUCUAUUUGCGGAAGCUUUUCGUUCGCUGCAGUCACCCUAUUUCUUGAUGGUAUGCUCGAACCUCUCUCGCUAUUUCUCAACAAGUAACUUGCCAAGUCUACAUCACUAGAUAAUCAAGAUUUUGCCUCAGGUUCUUUUUCAUGUAUAUAUACCCAAAAGCUAAAGAAUGAGUGGAAAAUUUCACUUGCGGCAAUUAAUACAAAUUAUGCUAAUCGUACAUGUCUGUCUAUUAAUUUGCAGGUCUACUAGAAAUCGGUAACUUUGAAGAAGGACCAAAGGCAUCAAAUCUAAAGAAAACAGUGAUCAUAGGAAAACACUCCUUGCCCAAAUGGGAGAUUGAUGGUAUAGUUGAGUACGUCUCAGGUGGACCACAACCUGGUGGUUUUCGCUUUGCAAUUCCUCGUGGGGCUCAUGCAGUGAGGCUUGGAAAUGAAGCUGCCAUAUCUCAGCAUGUCAAGGUGAAACCUAGAGCAAUCUAUUCUUUGACCUUUUCAGCCACCAGGACUUGUGCCCAAGAUGAGGUGCUAAGGGGUUCUGUCCCUGGAUUCUCAAGUCAACUUCCCAUCCAGACAUUGUACAGCAGCGAUGGUGAUGAUACUUAUGCCUGGGCUUUUAAGGCUGCUUCUGAUGUUGUUAAGGUCACAUUUCAUAACCCGGGGGUUCAAGAGGAUCCAACCUGCGGACCUCUCCUGGAUGCUGUUGCCAUCAAGGAGAUAUUAAGCAAUGGGCACACUAGGGGUAAGUCCUCCUUUCCAAAUUAUGCUUAAUAUUAUUAGUAGGCUACCUUCAUAUUCUUCAUUCUUCACCUUCUAGUCAUUUUUUACAAAUGGUAAAAUUGGGCCUCAGUAUUCGUAAAUGUUCUGAUUCUCAGUUCUAAUUCCAAAACUACAACUUUCUGGGGGAUAUAACAAAUUAGGAUCUGAUCUAACGGUGGACCAAAUAUUAAAUGACAAUAAUAGUAUACUUUUAAUUAGACGGUAGAAAUGUCGAUGCAAUAUUUUUCUACAAUCAUCUAAAAUUUGGUCGCAAAUAAGUAGAGUCCAUGUAAACAUUUCCCUUCUUGUUUUAUCUUAAGAAAAGAAGAAGUAAGAUCCUUUAAAUGCACAAACAGUGACUGAUUGUGUAAUUACUUCUGCAAAAUGUGUUGCAGGUAACUUGGUAAGAAAUGGUGGAUUCGAAAACGGCCCUCAUGUAUUCAAGAAUUUCUCGACUGGGGUUCUACUCCUUCCAAUGACGUCUGACUCUUACUCAACAGUCCCCGGGUGGAUUGUCCAACACCUCAAACCUGUUAAAUACAUCGAUUCCAAGCAUUUCUUUGUUCCACAAGGAAAUGCGGCCAUUGAAUUGAUUGGAGGAAGGGAAACUGCAAUAGCACAGAUUAUAAGAACAGUGGUUAACAAGUUCUACCUCCUUUCGUUCACGAUUGCUGAUGCAAAGAACGGUUGUCAUGGAGAGAUGAUGGUUGAAGCUUAUGCAGCAAAGCAAACUCUGAAAGUUCCAUUCAGAUCUACUGGAACCAUGGUUCAAAGUCACGGUUGCGGUCGCGGUCGCGGCCCGGAACGUUCCACAUCGGUUUCGGCAUAUCGGUCGCGGUCUCGGUGAGACGCAAAUUUUAAAGUAUUUAAUAUUCUAAAAAUUGUUAAUAAUAUAAAAAAGUAUGCUAAAUAAAAAUAAUUAAAAAUAGCAAAAGAAACAGCCAUGUCAAUCCGUCGCGGUGUGACUCGGCUGAUUUCUCGUCUUGACUCGGGAUAACUCGGAGUGACUUGGUGUGACUUGACCGAGUCAAUCUGUCGUGUGACGACUCGGCCGAUUUCUCGACGAGUCAAGUAUUUCGGUAUCGUUUCGUCACGGUAUCGUAUCGGUAGGGGUCGAGACGGUGACGACUCUGCCGAGUCGUCUCGGUCUCUGCCGAGACUUCGAACCACUCAGCCGAGACUUCGAACCAUGACUGGAACUGGUGGAUCUAAGAGAGCAAGAUUCAAAUUCCAAGCAAUUUACAACAGAACAAUGAUAAGUUUUUACAGCCCAUUUUAUCACAUGAACAUUCAUGACUAUGGUCAAAGAUGCGGUCCUUUCCUGGAUGAUGUUAAAGUGUUCCCUUUCAAAUAGUCAUUUGCAAGCAGAUGAACACUGAACAACUGCAAGGGCAACAAAUUUUCUCUUUCAUAUAGGCUCCUUUUUAUCGUCACUUGGGAACAAAUUAAGCACAAUUCUUAUGCUCAUGUUGGUGUUUAACCUGAAGAUCACUGCUUCACAUGCUUUGUCUUGUUCAUUUUUUUCUUUUCUUUUACCCAAUUUACGAAUGACAACCCUUUCCAUUAAAAUUCUUUCUUUACCAUAUCAUGCAACAAGAGGCAUAGCAAUCCUGAUAUUUACUGUUCUCUUUUCUCGUUUGCGGAAGUUUCUUUGCAUCAUCUUCAUGGUAUUAAACCGAAUUAAGUUUAGGUAACGUUAAGAGUAAAGCCAAAAACGUUGAAAUUAUUCUUUAACUGGCAACUUCAUAACGAGUUACACAAGGGAAAAGAAAACUCAUUAAACCACAAUCUAUUAUAAAAAGGGUAAACACAUAUAACAGCAUAUAAUUUUGCUUAUUGUCACAUGACCUCUUUAAGGUUUCAAAUAACCAUAUAAUUCUCUUGUAGCUUUAUGUGGAGCAAAAAAUGGACAGAAAGCAUCAUCGGUUAUGCACUUGAACUAGACAUGCUUAAAAAAUGCAUAUGAUGGAAUUAUAAUAUUUACUUAACUCUCUUAUGAUUUACAUGAAUAUCCACUUUACCUUCUUGUAUUUUUACAUUUAUCCAUAUAAUUCUUCUAUAAUUUUAUACAAGAUGGUUAGGCCAUUGUUCGUUUUAAUACUCAAGCAAGGGCAAUUUAGGUAUUUCAUUUAAAGAUGCUAUAGAGACUAUUUUUCAUCAAAUUUCCACUUUACAUAAAACUAUGAGAUGUAAAGCAGAUGUUUUGAAAUAUUAGAGAGAAUAUGUAGCAAUAAGUGAAACUACAAAAGGAUUAUUUGUAAUUUAUCCUAAAAAAAUGCAUUGCUCUUCUUUCCCGUGCUCAAGCUCUCAUUCACCCUUUAUUACUCUGCUGAAACCUCAUGGUAAAACUCAUCUUCGUUAAAUUCGAACCCUCAAAAUUUAAUUGUUUGUCAUAACACAAAAAUUAUUUUUGUGUGUAGUGUUUAAUUGUGAGUUAUCAGGCUAAUUCUCUGGGAGAGUAGGCUGUGCCUACUAAUAUUUUUCUGGAUAAGUUAUUGAAGUUCUAAAUAAAAGAAGAAAAUGGUCAAUAGCCUAUCAACUAAUGUUCGACUCCAGUUCAAAAGUUUAAUAAUUUUUUUUAUUUUAGUAUUAAUAAUUUUGAAUAAAACUAAAAUAUUUAUUUUGGAAAACAAAUACUUAAUUAAAACUAGCUGAACCUCUAGGUUGUUAUCGGUUCAACUGAUUCUUGAUCGAUUUUGACCUGUUCAAUUAAUUCUUUGACUUUUUAAUUGAAUCAGACCGAAGGCAUGAUCUGUUCGCGGUUCAAUCGAUCAAAUUGGACGGUCCGGUCUAAUUUUCAAAACAUUGGUGUGAUUUAGUACCAACAACAGGAUAAUGAUACAAUCUUUCCCACAAACAAUUCCAAGGUUAGAUUUCAAAUAUUGCUGCAUAAGCAAUCAUGCUGACUUGAGCUCAAACCAAUUCAGUGUCCAAUUUAUCCUAAAUUAUAACCUGCUACUUUGAAACCAUUUUAGACCUUUCUACGAACUGAUGCUCUCGAGGGCUCUCUUACUUCUUCUUGUGUAAGGUGAGGAAUGAAAUACAAGAGAAUUACAGACCUCGAACAACUUCUUUCAAAUAAAAUUUUUGAUUUGGAAAACAAUAACUUUAGAGCAAUCACUCCAAGGUCCAUCGGAUAUAUGAAAUAUUUGCGGUUUUACACUUGUGAAGCAAUAGUCUCCCUGAUGGGAUACGUUCGUUUCUAAAGAAUUGCACAAAUUUGUUAGAAAUGACCUUGCAGGGAAAAAAAAUUUUGUUAAUAAAAUUCCACUUUUAAAUUGUGAGAUCUAUAUUAAUGACAAAAAAUACAUCAUUCAAUAUGUCACAGAAACAACAAAUUUGAAACAGCUAUGAAUACACUAGAUUUGAAAAAUUUACAAAUAUUAUAUUGUAAAUUCCUAAUCUAUUCUAAAUUAUAUCAAUUUCUUUGAACCCAACGAGCAUUUGUGCAUGUUUUCUCUUGCCAGAUAUGUAGUUUAACUUCUUCAAGUCCAUUUACCAAGUUGAAAUUUGACAAAAUAGAUUCAAAUUUUCAGAUUUGACAAAUAGAUCUGAAAAUUUUGACAUUUGACAAAGAAAAAAAUUACAAAAAAUUUAAACUAAAAUAAAAUUAUCAUUAGAAAUCCUAAGAGAUAAAAAGCUAGGCCUUGUUUGAUAACUCAAUUCAUCACUUAAAUUUAAUGGAUUCAGAUAGUUUAAUAACAUAAAAUUGAACGUCUGAAUUAAUUAAAUGACAUUGAAUAUAUUUCUUAGGCAAAAUUUGUUUCCAAAAUUAAGUGAUAAGUGAUAUGCACUCAAAUGUAUUAGAUUUAAUACUUAAUAAUUCAAUAACUUAAUAGAUUCAGAUUUCAAAUUUCAGAUUUCGAACUUCAGUUUUCAGAUUUCAAUUUUAUCAAACGCACCAUUAGUUGAGAAAAUACCGAAUUGAUUUGAUUAUCUUUUAUUAAUUUGAGGAUUCUCAUUUUACAUUCCAACAAGUUUCAGGGUGAACUUCCCCUAGAACUGUGCCACUUGAAUUCUCUUCCAGUCAUAGAUUUUCCAACUAACAACAUUUUAGGUGCAAAUCAAUUUUUAAAAAAAACAUUCAAUUAUUAUUGACCUUGCAUCGUAAACUUAAUUUUUAGUCAUUUUUUUAUUUCACAUAUAUUAUAUAACAACAAGUAUUAUUUCAAAUAAUUUUUUUCAAAUAAUCUCUUAUCCAAACACACCAAUUGGAUAGCCGAAACACGCCAAUUGGAUCUCCUGUGAUGUGCUUUUUUACGUCCUAUUCAAAAAAUCUCCUAGCCAAACACACCGACUGUGAUAUUAUCACCCCCCCCCCCCCCAACGAAUUGGGCAACCAAGGGAAAUGAGUACGAACAUGGCAUUGUUCUUCAAUAGUAUUAACCUCUCAAUUGAUCACUUUUGUGGUAUCGUCCCUGACCUGACGAAUUGACUUCACUUUCGAAAUUGAUAUCUUUGAACUUGUCUGGCAAUCAAUUGAGAUGAAUGAUUCAGUCAUUUCAACGCAAAAUUUGUUUGAUAUAAUCCUAAUCUCCUCCACCACUCACCAGCAUCUUGGGAAUGAUUCCUCGUCCUGGAAACUCAACUGGUUGAAGUCUUUUAAAAGCCUCUUCAAUUGCUGUAUUGGCGGAACUAUAGGGGCAGCCAAAAAAAAAAAUUUCUGAUGAAAAGUCAAAUGGUGGAAAUGUUCUUAAAGCUAAUGAAUUGCAUUAUUGGCCGAUCUGCAGGGGCGGAAGGGGCAGCUUCCCCCGACCCUCCCCCAUGAAUUUUUUUAAAAUAUAUAUAUGUAAUAGGUAAUUUGAUUUGAAAAAUUGUAUGGUUUAUAUUUUGGAAUAAAUUUUUAUACAUUAAUACUGCAUACACUAUCAUCAUUAGAUACCUGAUAAUUAAAUUGAAUUCAAAUCAAAUUUUACACAGUGUCAUGCAUCUAACACAGUCAGUCAGUAUCUAAGAUUAACGUAUAUUUUUAGUCGAUGCCUACGAAUACACAUACAAUAGUCCGGAACCAAACUACAUUGUUAGAUAUCUCCUAUAUGUACUACCCAAAAAAUUUUCACGCAAAGUCGCCUUUGCCAAAUCUAGAGGGUCAUAAAAGGAGGUCAUCCGUGAUUGUAAAUUCAGGCUAAAUUUUCUCAAAACAUCCACACAUGAGUUGUCUUCCCUCUAAAAAUGAGAAACAGUACAUUCCCAACCGCUACAUAGGUUUCCGAGAGGAGUGCCGCGCUUAUCCAAUAAAUUAAUAAAAAAGAAUUAAAAAAACAAAUACAAGGGCGAACACAAAUUUCUUAGUCUCUCUAGUUAAUUCAUCUCUUUCUUUAUCGUAUUUAUUAGGUACAGAAAAAUAAAUAAGAAACUCUUUUAACUUUUUUUUCUCACAAAUCACUUCAUUUUUGUAACAUUCGUACAAAAUCUUCAGUGUUUUUGUGGGAAAAAUUCAUUUUUUUUCAAGUUUUAUACAACAAAGAAAAGCAAGAACAAUUCUCAAUAAUUUUUGGCUUAUUGACUUGCGCUCUAAAUUCAAGUAAAUUACUAUAUUAUAUUGUACUUAAAAAGUUUGCCUUAUAUUUUCUGAUACUAGUACUUUAAUCUGUCGAUUUAUUCUUUAUUGAAGAUGCUACUUUAUAUGCAAUUGAUGAUAUUUGUUUGGCAUACUAAUUAUCAGCUCUUUAUUUAGUACAGAUCUUAUAUUUUCUGUUACUUGUACUUUAAUCCGCUGAUUUAUUCUUUACUAAAGAUGCUAUUUUAUAUACCUUCAAACAAAAAGAUGCUAUUUUAUAUGCAAUUGACGAUAUUUGUUUGACAUACUAAUUAUCAACUCUUUAUUUAGUAAAGAUUUUUUUUAUAGGCAAUAAAGUUUGUUCCACAUAGUUGAAGGAUCUUUUUUUAGGCAACAUUUUACAUAAUUGAAGUUGAUUUGCAAAUGCGUGUCAGUGUAGUUAGUUUUAAUCGAACUAUGAGGAGAUUAUAUAUAGUUUUUAAAAUUAUAGGAGUUUACGUGAAAAUUCAUUAAACUACUGGGGAUAAAGUGUAUUUUACUCAAUUCUUGAAUAAGUUAGUAUCAGCUUCACCCACGAAGUCAAAAUCCUGAAUCCCCGGUGGCUAUAUAUAGUUCAAGCAGUUUCACGUAUGGAAGGCUUUUUACUAUCUAAAUCGCCUUUUUUAACAAUUCAAAGUCCAAAGUAUCUGUAGUACGAUGAAUUCUGGUUCCGGCAAGCCAAUAUUUGCGGUAGCUGCCCAGCUUCCCAGGUUUCUUCUAAUCAUGACAGUAGCUUUACUCAGCUGUUGCUAUGAAAAUGAAGCUGGUGCCUGCAUAGCCUACGAGAAACAAGCUCUUCUGAGCUUCAAGAAAGACUUGAUAGAUCCCUCGAGUCGACUCUCCUCAUGGACUGCUCCCGAUGCUGAUUGCUGCAAAUGGGAAGGCAUUGUCUGCGAUAACAUCACCGACCAUGUGACCGAACUUUACCUUCGACAUCCCAAUGGAAGCAAUCUCUGGAAUCAGUAUGGUCCUAGUUACUUUGAUAUGUUUGCCUUCAGAGGCAAACUAAAUCCCUCUUUGCUCAACCUGAAACAACUUCGAUUUGAGCCUAAAUGACUUUGGAGGAGUCCCGAUCCCAAGUUUUAUAGGGUCUCUCAAAAGUAUCGAGUAUCUCAAUUUGUCAUAUGGAGGAUUUGGAGGAAUCGUCCCACCUCAGCUUCGAAAUUUGUCAAAUUUACACACUCUAAGUAUGGGAGGGUUGUAUGUGCUUCAGGAUGACAAUCUGCAAUGGUUGGCCGGUCUUUUCAAUCUGGAGCACCUGGAUAUGACUUCUGUGAAUCUCCGCGGAGCAUCUAAUUGGGCACAGGUGAUUAAUACGAUUCCUUCAUUGGUAGAGGAACACUUUGUUGCGGAAGCCCUACCAAAGUUAAGGUAUAACGAGUAAAUUAUUGUACCUAAAAUUGCAAAAAUGGUAAUUCCCAGGAAAUAUUUGGUGAGGCACACUGGCCUGCUUAAGUACCAAUUUCCUAGACAGAAUCACCUAUAUAUGCACCUAAUUGCACAAUAACUCACUACAAAUAUACCUACAAAUAUAGCUACUAAAUAGACAAUAAAAUAGAACACCAGAAUUUAACGAGGUUCGGCUAAUUUGCCUACGUCCUCGGACACUACCGACAAUUUAAUAUUUCACUAGAAGAAAUAUUACAAAGAGAGAGAAGAAAGCAAGUUAUUGGCUCUUGCUUGGUGUGUCUAAUCCUAUCAAAUGAUGCUCCUAUUUAUAGUUUACAAAUGAUAGGAUUCCUAACAAAACUACCGAUGUGGGAUUUAGAAACUUAGGCCAAAGAUUUCAAAGUCCUCAAUUUUGGCUUGAAAAAGUCAUCAAUUGAGGCUUGGCUUUGAAUUCAACAAAUCUCCACCUUGGCAUAAUUUCUAAUCCCACCAAAAAUAAAAAUUUUUUUUUUCCCUCAAAUUCGGUGGUGUCUUCAAAUGCGUUGUCAAGCGCCAAUCUUCAAGUUGUGCACAACAUUUAUCAAAUUCAAACAAUGUUGGAAUUUGAUAGUUGUCACAACCUUCGUAAGCAUAUCAGCAGGAUUCUCCUUGGUCUGAAUCUUUUGAAGUAGUAUCGUACUAUCUUCCAAAAUCUUCCUCACAAAAUGAUACCGUACGUCGAUAUGCUUCGUCCUUGCAUGAUAAACUUGGUUCUUUGCUAAAUGAAUAGCACUCUGACUAUCACAAUGAACUUUGAUAGACUUCUGUCCAAUUCCCAAUUCAUCAAGCAAUCCAUGAAGCCAAAUUGCUUCCUUAACAGCUUCCGUAACUGCCAUAUACUCCGCCUCUGUAGUAGACAAAGCAACUGUUGACUGUAAGGUAGACCUCCAACUGACUGGUGCCUUAGCAAGUGUAAAAACAUACCCAGUCGUUGAUCGACGUGUAUCUUGAUCUCCUGCGUAGUCGGAAUCACAAUAUCCAACUACGCCUUGACCAAUCUUCUCAUCCCGCUCAAAUACUAAUCCAACAUCUACGGUGUUCAAAAUAUACCGUAAAAUCCAUUUCACAGCUUGCCAAUGCUCCUUGCCAGGAUCAUGCAUGUACCUGCUCACACACUUGUCCUACUGUCAACUUGACCGUAUUUCUCCCCUAAUGGAAACCAAUCUUUCUUCUCUUACUGUCCUUGAUCUUUCACACAAUGGAAUAUCCUUCCUGCCCAGAUGGAUAUUUAGUCUUGGUGCGCUAGUCUCCCUUGAUUUGGGAUACAAUCAAUUUCAGGCGCCAUGGCCAGAAGGUCCCUGGAACUUGACUUCUCUCCAAUUCUCGCAUUUGCCUCAAAACAUCCUAAAUGGGUCAUUACCCCUGGAGAUUUUAGAUCUAAGUACUCUCGUUUUACUUGAUUUAUCCAAGAACGAGAUCGUCGUAGCAACCUGACAAACCUCCAUCAUUUUGACAUGUCGGACAACAAGCUGAAUUCCAGCAUACCUAGCUGGUUGUACGAGUCCAGACAGAUAAAUUUUCUGAAUCUUGCGCGAAACUGGCUGCAAGGUGUAAUCUUGGAAGACAUAGCAAACCUGAGCUCCAUAGUCUCGCUGGACUUGACUGCCAAUCAACUUACGGGAACAAUAACUAAGAAGAUAUAGGAAACCCGUGCAACAUAAGUUUCAUAAGUAUGUCAAAAAACAAACUCGAGGGACGAAUAUCAGAUUUGAUUGAUGGUAUGUCGGUCUGCUCUUCUUAUGUUCUCAAAUCCUUAUAUCUGGACAAUAAUCAGCUCUCUGGCCAAUUAACUGAUAAUCUUGGAUAUUUUCAAAUGUUGAGCAGCGUAACCUUGGUUCCAACUCCAUAUCUGGUCCAAUCCCUUCCAACAUAGGGGUCUUGUCCUUCUUGGAAACAAUGCUUUUGGGAGAUAACCAAAUAAAUGGAACUCUCCCUCCUAGUCUUGGAAAACUUUUCAGGGUAAAAGAGUUAGACAUUUCUCGAAAUAUGAUGGAAGGCAUUGUGACUCAGAGUCAAUUUGAGAAUCUCACCAACAUAAGGUACUUGAAGGCGCCUGGAAAUUCCUUGACUUUAGAAGUAGAUCCCAGUUGGGUUUCUCUGGCCCAGUUUUUAUAUCUUGAUUUGAGUUAUUGGAAAUUAGGUCCUCAGUUUCCCAACUGGCUCCGUUUACAAAAGGAGAUAAAUUUUCUGGAUUUAUCCUCUACUGGAAUCUCAGGUGCUAUUCCUCCGUGGCUUUGGAACAUGAGUACAGCAUUUGAUUACUUGGAUCUUUCCUAUAACCAGCUAAGUGGUGGUAUUUCAAAUAUUUGCUGUAUAAAUAAAGUGCACCUGAGCUCAAACCAAUUCAGUGGCCCAUUACCUUCUACAACUCCUGAUCGCCUGUUUACUUUAGACCUCUCCAAUAAUUCCAUUUCUGGAGGUCUCUCUCACUUCUGUGUCAUGGAGUUCGCCCAAAUGGAAAAAGAACGAUAGAGGUUCUUGAUCUUGGAGAAAAUCUUCUUUUGGGUGAAAUUCCUCAUUGUUGGAUGAAUUGGACAGUUCUAGGCUUCAUUAGUUUGUCAAACAAUAAUCUAAGUGGAAGUAUCCCAAUGUCCAUCGGAUAUUUAAGUACUCUGCUCUCUUUGCACUUGCGCAACAACAAUCUCUCUGGUGACAUACCUUCUUCCCUGGAGAAUUGUACAGAACUAAUUACAAUUGACGUUGCAGGAAACAAAUUAGGGGGGAAGUUACCAACUUAGCUGGGUCCAAGUCUUUCCAAAUUGAGGAUUCUCAUCCUGCGCUCUAACAAGUUUAAUGGUGAAAUUCCUCCUGAACUAUGCCACCUGUCUUCCCUGCGAGCCUUAGAUGUUUCCAACAACGAUUUUGUGGGUGUGAUCCCGAGUCGUUUCAAGAACAUUACCUCCAUGGCAACAGAAGAGAGCGUUUACUUGCGCAAUAAUGAGACAACUUACUUCUAUUCUGGUUACCCAGAGAGUGUGCAUUUGGCAAUUAAAGGAAAUGCAUACGAAUAUAACUGGAUUCUUGGACUUUUCUGCAGCAUUGACCUCUCAAACAACAAUUUUUCUGCUCAAGAUCCCUCUUGAACUAACCAAUCUUUUGGGGUUGAAAUCGUUGAAUCUGUCCGGCAAUCAACUGGGAGGAACGAUUUCAAGCAACAUCGGCCAAAUGGGACGACUAGAAUCUCUUGAUCUAUCAAGAAAUCAUCUCUCAGGGACAAUUCCUUCUAGCAUUUCAAAACUAUGCUCCUUGGGUUUCUUGAAUUUGUCUUUCAAUAACUUGUCAGGGAAAAUUCCAUCAAGCACGCAAACGCUAAGUUUUGAUGCUUCUUCCUUUGCUGGUAACCAACUUUGCGGCCGCCCCCUGACAGUGAAUUGUGGCAGCAGCAGCACUGAUGGUGUGACUGUAAUCAAGGAAGAAAGUGUCGAAACUGCUGUGGAUUAUUGGCUUUAUAUCUGCAUUGGUGUGGGGUUUGUGAUCGGCUUUUGGGCUGUUUCUUUUACUCUAAUACUGAAGAAGUCAUGGAGAUACAGGUUUGUGGAUGAAGCUUGGUACAGGUUACAGGAAUAAAAUAGCAAACAACUGUCUUGUGACCUGCAUCAUGAUGUAAACGAGUUGGUCCGCUAUUUAUAUAUUUUCUCAUACCCAAUUUACAGAUUGAUUACCCCUCUCCAGUAAUAAAAAUGUUUCUUAACCAUGUCAUGCAAUAAGAGGCCACUCUUCCAGUUUGUGACAUUUAUACAUCCCCUUUCUCAUUUUCAAAAGUUUUAUUCCACUACAUUCAUGAUAUUGGCUUGUUGACAGAUUUCAAGAACACGGUUUGACUAAGUAGGAAAAAAAAUUGAGACAUAAAAUUAUGAAAUUUCAGACAAUGGAUUUUUGACAUUUUUGUGUCUACGGAGGAAGAAGUAAAACAAGAAAUUAGAGCCACCAUCCAUGCAAAUUAUGUUAGUCUCCAUAUAUUAUUGAUAAAUUUUUAGUUUUACCCCCAUUAAAUUUUUGAAAACUAUCCCCAAUGCAAAUUAUGUUAGCCUCCAUAUACAAAUUAUGUUAUUACACGUCCUUGAAUCAAUCAAAACCAUUAAAAUCUCAUAAGCCAACAAAGAAAGAGCAGAGUGCAAUGAGAUCUCUAGAUGUGGUGAUGAUUAUCUUGGGAGAAGUUGUUCUUGUGUGCACUGGCAAAUGCAAGGGGACUAGGAGUGAGGGAUUGGCAAGCAAGAUUUUGGAAAUUCUUUCUGUAUCCUAUAAAAAUGUGCAAAUCUUUGAAAAGAAAUUUGUGAAUCUUCUACAUAUAUCUUUUUAGAAAUUAGGUUUUUGCCCCUCCAAAAUUUUAAAAGUCCUUUUAUAUCCUAUUAAAAUAUUAAAAGUUUCACUUAUAUUCUUGUAAAUAUUAUACUUCGUCCUCCAAAGUUUUAUCAAAAAAUAUGAGAAUGCCUCUCAAGCAUACAUCUUGCCCCUCAAAUCCCAAGCCCUGGUCCCGCUAGUGCUUCUGUACACAUUAAGUAUCAUCAUAAUUCCUAGCUACGUCAAGCCAUUUAAUUUUGACUGCCGUCUUUCUUGUUCUAAUUUUCACCGCUGGCAUCCCAUUAUCACGGAUUGCUGAUUCCUGCUCUUGCAAGUUAAGCUCAAGCAUGUAUAUCGCAAAGCCAACAGAUGGACAGAUGCACUAGCAAAGUUAGGUUGCAAUCUGGAUAAGCCUUCUGUGAUUUUUGAAUCAUGUCCUCCUGAAAUUUCUUUUGUUUUUGAUGAGGACAAACAGAGGGUCUGCUUUCCCCGCUAGCUUUAGGUUGAAUUGUAAUAAUAGCUUAGUGACAACUUUGUACUUCUGGUUAAUUUAUGCAAUCAUCUAUUUACCAAAAAAAUGUGGGCAAAUUCCACUUUACACCCCCUAUGGCUUAGCAUUUUUUUACAUAACCUCCCUAUGGUUUCAAAAGUUAUACAUAAUUUCCUCAUGAUUUGGAUUAAAGUAUCAAAGUGACGGGAAUGAUCAUUCGUAACGGAAUCAUCUACAAUGUCAAAAAUACCCUUAGGUAAAGUUGAAAAUUAUUUAUUAACCAAGGGGAGUUAUGUGUAUAUUUUGAAAACUAUAAGGAGGUUAUACGGUAAAACAUAAAAACCAUACGGGAUUAGUGUGUUAUGUAUUUAUAAGGGUAAAAAUUUCAACAUUUUUAGAAGUUCUGUUACGAAUGACUAUUUCUGUCACUUUGACAUUUUAAUUCAAAUCAUGAGGAGGUUAUGCAUAACUUUUGAAACUAUAGGGAAUUAUAUAAACAAAUACUAAAUCACAGGGGGGUAAACUAUAAUUUGCCAAACAAAUGUAGACAUGGUGAUUCUGUCAAUUUCAGGCACCUGAAAGUCUCUUGUCUUCGUUUAAGUCAAGUCUACUUCGCUUUUAAUGCCACAAGAAAAAUUGCAAAGUGAACAACUAAUAAUUUGAGAAUUUUUACGCGUUAAAGGAAUUUAAGUGCCCUAUGUGUUUUCGAUUCCGGAUCAUAACAUAGCAGUUUCAUAACAUUGUACAGAUUUCCCAAUAGAUCAAUGUUAUGGACUAUCAGUCUAUCACCAAUCAUGCACACAAUGUUGUUGUAUUCGCGAAAAUUUUUGAUACAUAUGAAUAAAACUUUUCAUAUAUAUUUGAUAUAAUAAUAUAUAAUGUUAUAACAAAUUCAUCAACCGAAUGAAACUGGACAAAACCCAAUGGCUCUGAGUCCAUGACUUGUAUACAACAACCUAUUUGCGAACUUCUUAAAUUUUAAAAAUUUCCAAUUUGACUCGGCACAUUCUAAUCAAGGCUUUCGAAGACCAAGACCUCAAAUUUCCAAGUAAAACAAGAAGAAUUUGAAAAAGGAUACAAGUUUUCCAUAAUUAUAAGCCAAGAAUUAAUGCAUCAAUGGUAAUUAAAAUUUUUGGCAAGCGAUAGAGAAAGUACUACUAUUAGCUGCUAAUUAAAGCAAAAUUUUGAUUGAUGGACAAAUUCAGUCAUCCUUAGUCAAUGGCAUUAAUUCAAGCUGGAAAAUUUCCACUCAACUUUCUUCCCAACAAACGAAUAUGUCUCUCUUUCCUCCACUUCUCACAGAUAGUUUUCCAAAUUCAAUUCUACCCACUCGAGAAUUUAAGACAUACUAAUUUCCACCGGCAGCUUCGAAGAAAUGCUAAUUUCCACCAGCAGCCUCGAAGUCAUGCGUAGACCUGGUCCUUGUCCUGGAAAGAGCAGAGUACUGGCAGAAACCUUUGUGCAUCCUAAUGAACUGCUAUAUAAACAUAAUGGUUCAAGCAGAUUUAACUUUUACGUACAGCUGGGAUUUCACAUUUCUACAAAAUAAAUCUCCUUUGUAACACUUCAAAGUAUCUGUAAUACAAUGAAUUUUAGAUCGGACGGGCCAAUAUAUGCGGCAGGUGCCCAGCUUUCCAUGUUUCUUGUAAUCAUAACAGUAGCUUUACUCAACUGUUGUGGUGGAAAUGGAGCUGGUGCUUGUAUAGAGUACGAGAAACAAGCUCUUUUGACCUUCAAGAAAGACUUGAUAGAUCCCUCGAAUCGACUUUCGUCAUGGACUGCUGCUGAUGCUGAUUGCUGCAAAUGGGAAGCAGUUGCCUGUGAUAACAUCACCAACCAUGUUACGGAACUUAACCUUCAACAUCCCAAUGGAACCUCUCUUUGGGAUCAGUAUGGUUAUAAUUACUUUGAGAUGUUUGCCCUCAGAGGCAGACUAAAUCCUUCUUUGCUCAAUCUGAAACAACUCCGGUUCCUCGAUUUGAGCCUAAAUGACUUCGAAGGAGUCCCAAUCCCCAGUUUUAUAGGGUCCCUCAAAAGUCUUGAGUAUCUCAAUUUAUCAUAUACAGGAUUCUCUGGAAUCAUACCACCUCAGCUGGGAAAUCUGUCAAAUUUACGCACUCUGAGCGUGGAAGGAGAAUAUAUUCAGGAUGACAAUCUGCAGUGGCUGGCUGGUCUUUCCAAUCUUGAGCACCUAGUUAUGGCUUCUGUGAAUCUCAGCAGAGCGUCUAAUUGGGCACAGGUGAUUAAUACGAUUCCUUCAUUGGUAGAGGUACACUUGUCUCACUGUCAACUUGACCAUAUUUCUCCCCUGAUGGAAACCAAUCUUUCUUCGCUUACUGUCCUUGAUCUUUCACUCAAUGAAAUAUCCUUCAUGCCCAGAUGGAUAUUUAGUCUUGGUACGCUGGUCUCCCUUGAUUUGGGUCAGAACAAUUGUCAAGUUCCAUGGCCAGAAGGUCCCUGGAACUUGACUUCCCUCCAAGUUUUGAAUUUGAAUCAGAACCAACUAGGUGGUUCAUUACCGCGAGAGCUUUUAUAUCUGAAUAAGCUCGUUUCCCUUGAUCUAUCCAAGAACGAGAUCAAUGAUCUAAUGCCAACUGCUAGUAGCAACCUGACAAACCUUCUACAUCUUGACAUUUCAGACAACCAGCUGAAUUCCAGCAUACCUAACUGGUUGUACAAGUCCAAACACAUCAAAUUACUGAAUCUUGCGCGCAACUGGCUGCAAGGUGUAAUCUUGGAAGACAUAGCAAACCUGAGCUCCAUAGUCGAGUUGGACUUGACUGCCAAUCAACUUACCGGAACAAUACCCAAGCAAAUAGGAAACCCUUGCGACAUAAGAUUCAUAAGUAUGUCAGAUAACAAACUCGAGGGACGAGUAUCAGAUUUGAUUGAUGGUAUGUCGGGAUGUUUUUCUUAUGCUCUCAAGAUCUUGUAUCUAGAAAAUAAUCAGCUCUCUGGCCAGUUAACUGAUAAUCUAGGACAAUUUCAAAAUCUUGAGCAGCUUAACCUUGGUUCCAACUCCAUAUCUGGUCCAAUCCCUUCCAACAUAGGGUUGUUGUCCUCCUUGGAAACAUUGCUUUUGGGAGAUAACAAACUAAAUGGAACCCUCCCUGCUUCUCUCGGAAAACUUUCCAAGUUAAAAGAGCUCGACAUUUCUCGCAAUAUGAUGGAAGGCAUUGUGACUCAGAGUCAACUUGAGAAUCUAACCAACAUAAGGUCUAUGAAGGCACCUGGAAAUUCCUUGACAUUAGAAGUAGAUUCCCGUUGGGUUUCUCCAGCCCAAUUUCAGCAUCUUGAUUUGAGUUCAUGGAAAUUAGGUCCUCAGUUUCCCAAUUGGCUCCGUUUACAAAAGAAGAUAUAUCAUCUGGAUUUGUCCUUUACCGGAAUCUCAGGUGCUAUUCCUUCGUGGCUUUGGAACUUGAGUGCAGAAUUUGACUACUUGGAUCUUUCCCAUAACCAGUUAAGUGGUAGUAUUUCAGAUAUUUGCUGCAUAAACGAAGUGCAUUUGAGCUCAAACCAAUUCAGUGGCCAAUUACCUCAUACAACUGCACAUCGUGUGUUUACUCUAGACCUUUCCAAUAAUUCAUUUUCUGGAGGUCUUUCUCAUUUCUUGUGUCGUGGAGCCGGAGUGAAUAAAGAACGAGGCAUACAGGUUCUUGAUCUUGGAGAAAAUCUUCUUUCAGGAGCAAUUCCUGAUUGUUGGAUGAAUUUGCCAAUGCUAGUCUUCAUUAGUUUGUCAAACAAUAAUCUAAGUGGAAGUAUCCCAAUGUCCAUCGGAUAUUUGACUUCUCUGCUCUCUUUGCACUUGCGCAACAACAGUCUCUCUGGUGAUAUACCUUCUUCCCUGGAGAAUUGUACAGAACUAAUUACAAUUGACGUUGCAGGAAACAAAUUAGGGGGGAAGUUACCAACUUGGCUGGGUCCAAGUCUUUCCAAAUUGAGGAUUCUCAUCCUACGCUCUAACAAGUUUCACGGUGAACUUGCUCCAGGACUCUGCCACCUGUCUUCUCUGCGAGUCUUAGACGUCUCCAACAACGAUUUUGUGGGUGUGAUUCCCAGUUGUUUCAACAACUUUACCUCGAUGGCAACCGAAGGGAAUGUUUCCUUACGCUAUAAUGAGAUAACUUACUACUAUGACGGCUACCCCGAGAGAGCACAGUUGGCAACCAAACGAAAUGAAUACGAUUAUCAUGGCACGGUACUUUAUCUUAUCUGCAGCAUUGACCUCGCAAGCAACAAUUUUUCUGGAAAGAUCCCUGAUGAGCUAAUCAAUCUUUUGGGGUUGAUAUCUUUGAAUUUGUCCGGCAAUCAACUGAACGGAAUGAUUCCACGGAACAUCGGCCAAAUGGGACAACUGGAAUCUCUUGAUCUAUCAAGAAAUCAUCUUUCUGGGUCAAUUCCUUCUAGCAUUUCAAAACUAUCCUCCUUGGGUUUCUUGAAUUUGUCCAACAAUAACUUGUCAGGGGAAAUUCCAUCAAGCACCCAAAUGCAAACUUUCGGUGCUUCUAGCUUUGCUGGAAACCAACUUUGCGGGCGUCCCCUGACAGUGAAUUGUAGUAGCAGCAGCACUGAUGGUGUUACUGCAAUCACUGAAGAAAGUGCUGAAGCUGUGGCGGACUAUUGGCUUUAUGUUUUCAUUGGCUUGGGGUUUGUGGUCGGAUUUUGGGGUGUCUGUUUUACUUUAAUACUGAAGAGGUCAUGGAGAUACGCAUACUUUCAGUUUGUGGAUGAAGCUUGGGACUGGCUACAGCUACAGGCAUGCCAUUUGUCCGCUAAAUUCAUGCUAAAGGGGUGAGGAGCAGGUGUCUUGGAUUCUAUUUCUUUAAAGUUAUUCAUCAUGUCUUGUGUUCUUGUGAUUCUAAUAUGUUAUCCCUUCCCCUCACGAAACUUAUUUGAAUAACGAGUAUUGCUCUGUCCGACUCUCCAUAGUUAGCAUAUUAAAUUAAGUUCAUAAUUUUAUAAGUUUCUGUAUCUGUAUUUAGCAGUUUUUUUUAAGUCAAAAUUUUGUUUAAUUUCUUAUUAAUUAGUUUGAGUAUCCUAUUAGAUUAUUUAUUGUCAUAGUAUUUUUCUUGUUUAUCAAGUCAUGUUGUCUAUUAUAAAUUUAUAAGUAGAGAGUCUUAUUAAUAUAUUUAGUUGACAAAAAAAAAAAAAGAUACUAUUGUUAUUAUUGUGAUUAAUGAUAUAUUAUUAAUUUUAUUUCUCUUCUCCCACACAUAUAUUUUUUUGUGUAUAAAUUAGUCUCUUCCAUAUAUUUUCAGCACUAAAUUAAUCUCCCCACCCUUCUAAUUUUCAUGUUAUAAGUAAAGCAAUUGCGAGUGAGGGUUGCAGUAGUUUCGGAUCCAAAAGUCCAUCUUUAGAGUUUCUGGAUGGAGUUAGCUUCUUUUGUCCAUUGCCAAUAACUUCAAAUGUUCUUUACAAUCUUCUUAAUUUUGUGAAUAUAUAUAUAUAUGUAUACACACCGCAGUUUUUUUUAUAAUCAAUUUACAAAACUGUUUCCCUUAAUUUUUAUACUAUGUAAAUGCUUUGCUGCUAUAUUCCUGCUCUUAUUGUUCUGUCAUCUAUUGACAGGUGUCGAGCCUGUGCAAUAAUAAGUACGUAUUAAUAUAUAUAUAUAUAUAUAAACUUUUGUAUAUAACGGUGAGUAGGAUCGAAUUCAUAAGAGUUAGGGAUAAUUCAUUUCUUCUAGAGUCCAGAGUACGAGGAUUUUUAUAAAAAUGGAAAUAAUUAAAUAACUCAAAUAAAAAGGCCUACAUGACAAUUUAUUAAAAUUGAAUUGAUAAUAAAUAAACUUUAGCCAAAAAAAAUAACUUCAGAAAUGGUUCAUUCAAUUAAUUACUGAUGCAAUAAUAAUUUCAUUUACUCAUUGAUAAACAAAUCAUCCGCUUUGUGGAUGAAGCUUGGUACAGGUUACAGGAACACUUUUUCUCUAUUAGAUUCAUAUUAAAAUAGCAGCAGUAAUAAUGGCGUUACAAUAAUCAAAGAAGAAAGUGCUGGAGCUGUGGUGGAUUAUGGCCCUUAUGGGCUUUAUAUUUCCGCCGGUGUGGGGUUUGUGGUCGGCUUAUAUGAACAAGAUCAGAACUGAAGAAUCCAUUAGACCUGGUGCGAAGUGGAUUAAAUGGAAAGUAAAUGUUAAUGAGAACCCACAAGUGAUGACUAGAGUCAAUACUUUUUGAUUUGAGUGGCAAUACUUUUGAAGUCCCAUUCCUAAAGGUUUCCUGGAACUUGACUUGGAUUUGUUGUUUAACAGCUUAAAGGAUGCAUUACCCUAGAGAGCUGUAGCACCCAAUCUUUCCGAUUCGGGGGUUUGAUAUAAAUUUAAUUAGUCUUGUUUGAAUUAAAUUAAAUUAUGAAACUCUAUGUUUUGGACUAAUUGAAUUGGGCUGGUAUUAAAUGAAUUGUUAAAUUAAAUUAAAUUUAUAAUGUUCAUGUAAGCUUAAGUGGACUAAUUGAAUGCACUAUCUAAACCUACCUGCUACUAGAGCUCAAGCUAGAUGGAUUUUUAGACUUACAAGCCACCCAAAUGCAAGAAUGCUCCGAAGAAUUUUCUUGAAGACUAAACACAAUUUCAGUUGUGUUUGGAUUGCAUUUUCCAUGGAUUUUUCAUUGAAAAAUUACUGUAGCGAUUUGAUGUAUGUGAGGUAAAAAGGUAAUAGGAAAAUGUGUUCACGAAAAACAAGACCAUUUUUCGAUGGAAAAUAGCUAUCCAAACGUUAACGUUUCUCAAGAGUUUUUCCCCUCAAAUCAUGAUAUCACCCAUUUUCUACACACAAAUUAUAGGAAUCAUAAAAUCAUCUGUUUUGAUCGAAGAACAAGUCUUUUUGACCCUUCAAUUAAAGUAUUUUAAAGAGAAGAAUCAGGAUAUUGAUUGAGAUUAACUUUUUUUUAUUUAAGAAUUUUCAAAAAUUAUAAUCUUUUUAUUCUUUGAUUUAAUAUAUUUGAUAUUUGUACAAGCUAUCUUGUCUUUUUAUCUUAGGCAACGAAAGUUGUGCUACACACUCUAACUAAUCACAUUUCACUUGCUCUGGAGUCUGGAGUCUGGAAACCGGAAUCAAUCGACUAAGAAAGAAGCUGCGAAACAUGUUAGUCAAACUGAAGUUUAGUUGCUGACCGUACAUUGACCGUCCAAAUUGCUACGUUCAAAACUAAUAUAUAUUGUUUUUUAUAAAAGAAAAAAAAAAAAAGGUUAAACCUGUCUAGACAGAAUUAAGAAACAAGAAGGCAUGUUAUUCUCUCUUUCUCUAUCUCUCAUUCCCAGACAUUUCUGUCUAUCUUUCCCUAACUUGAAGUCAAGUUUGUAGUCGUAGAUGUUACUAAUUCAUCAGGCUAAACUAUUAUUAAUGUUACUCUUAUAGUUCCCAGCAGCAUACAUGUUUUCUCUAUCAGAUAAUGACAUUAAUUUACUCCUUGUUUACAACAUAAAUUUGAAGCUACAGUCACUUUUCAGAAGAAAUUGACAGAAAGUAAGGUCAGGGGCCAAAUAUAACAUUUACAUGCGACCAAGACCUGUACAUUGGUCCAUUCAAUCGAAAUGCUAUAAGCUGAAGGCAACUAUACGGCUCAUAUCCAUCAAGAAACAUGAGAAAACACACAAGUAAUAAUUUGCAGGGUUUCUUUCCCAGAAAAGCCAUUAACCUGCAGAUAAAGCAGGAAUUCAUGCGAUCUUAUUGUCUUUUAUGGAAAUCUUUGCAUUUUUUAUUUUUAUUUUUAUUUUUCCUAUCACCUCUCUAAGACCUUAACAACGGGUAGGUUACUCGUCAAGCAACACAAGAGAGUGAGGGAAACUUAAACAGAUUAUUCAGGAGGACUAAAGACAAAUUUUAUUUAACAGUAAAUAAAGAAAGAUUCAAGGGACAAACAGCUACUGAAAAGAUCAAACCACACUCAAAGUUGGAAAUGGACCAAAAAGGGUGUUACUAGCAUUUGAGAUGAGAUGAAUACACGGAUACUCACUUAUUCUGAAUCUUUUGAACCUGCAGUAUGCCAUCGAGGUAAGUUUCUUUUAUAUGAGCUAUCUUGGCUCUGUCCUUUUCUCCACAAUCUACACUCAACUGCGGGCAAUUGUCAAUCUU